rnacentral:tRNA from 1 species
GAGGGUAUAGCUCAAGUGGUAGAGUGCAUGCUUAGCAUGCACAAGGUCCUGGGUUCAACCCCCAGUACCUCCU